rnacentral:rRNA from 1 species
AGUCGAGAGGUGCAAGACCUCGGCGCAAUGCUCAGUAAACAACAUGGACAACUUACCCUGUGGAGGGGGAUAACCCCGGAAAAGCUGGGAUAAUACCCCAUAGGUAAGGGAGGCUGGAAUGCCCCCUAGCUCAAAGGUCCGCAGCCACAGGAUGGGUCUGCGGCCGAUUAGGUUGUUGUUGGGGUAACGGCCCAACAAGCCUUUGAUCGGUACGGGUUGUGGGAGCAAGAGCCCGGAGAUGGAUUCUGAGACACGAAUCCAGGCCCUACGGGGCGCAGCAGGCGCGAAAACUUUACAAUGCGAGAAAUCGUGAUAAGGGAACCCCGAGUGCCCGUAAAUUCGGGCUGUCCGCCAGUGCAAAAAACUGGUGAAGAAAGAGCCGGGCAAGACCGGUGCCAGCCGCCGCGGUAAUACCGGCGGCUCGAGUGGUGGCCACUAUUACUGGGCUUAAAGCGUCCGUAGCUUGGUUGUUAAGUCUCCUGGGAAAUCCAUCGGCUCAACCGAUGGGCGUUCAGGAGAUACUGGCAACCUAGGGACCGGGAGAGGUGAGAGGUACUCCAGGGGUAGGAGUGAAAUCCUGUAAUCCUUGGGGGACCACCUGUGGCGAAGGCGUCUCACUAGAACGGCUCCGACAGUGAGGGACGAAAGCUGGGGGAGCAAACCGGAUUAGAUACCCGGGUAGUCCCAGCUGUAAACGAUGCGCGUUAGGUGUAUCGGUGACCACGAGUCACCGAGGUGCCGAAGAGAAAUCGUGAAACGUGCCGCCUGGGAAGUACGGUCGCAAGGCUGAAACUUAAAGGAAUUGGCGGGGGAGCACCACAACAGGUGGAGCCUGCGGUUUAAUCGGACUCAACGCCGGGAAGCUCACCGGAUAAGACAGCUGAAUGAUAGCCGGGUUGAAGACUCUGCUUGACUAGCUGAGAGGAGGUGCAUGGCCGUCGUCAGUUCGUANGNAANNAUNNNNNNNU